UGAGUAACACGUGGGUAACCUACCUAUAAGACUGGAAUAACUCCGGGAAACCGGGGCUAAUGCCGGAUAACAUUUAGAACCGCAUGGUUCUAAAGUGAAAGAUGGUUUUGCUAUCACUUAUAGAUGGACCCGCGCCGUAUUAGCUAGUUGGUAAGGUAACGGCUUACCAAGGCAACGAUACGUAGCCGACCUGAGAGGGUGAUCGGCCACACUGGAACUGAGACACGGUCCAGACUCCUACGGGAGGCAGCAGUAGGGAAUCUUCCGCAAUGGGCGAAAGCCUGACGGAGCAACGCCGCGUGAGUGAUGAAGGUCUUCGGAUCGUAAAACUCUGUUAUUAGGGAAGAACAAAUGUGUAAGUAACUAUGCACGUCUUGACGGUACCUAAUCAGAAAGCCACGGCUAACUACGUGCCAGCAGCCGCGGUAAUACGUAGGUGGCAAGCGUUAUCCGGAAUUAUUGGGCGUAAAGCGCGCGUAGGCGGUUUCUUAAGUCUGAUGUGAAAGCCCACGGCUCAACCGUGGAGGGUCAUUGGAAACUGGGAAACUUGAGUGCAGAAGAGGAAAGUGGAAUUCCAUGUGUAGCGGUGAAAUGCGCAGAGAUAUGGAGGAACACCAGUGGCGAAGGCGACUUUCUGGUCUGUAACUGACGCUGAUGUGCGAAAGCGUGGGGAUCAAACAGGAUUAGAUACCCUGGUAGUCCACGCCGUAAACGAUGAGUGCUAAGUGUUAGGGGGUUUCCGCCCCUUAGUGCUGCAGCUAACGCAUUAAGCACUCCGCCUGGGGGAGUACGACCGCAAGGGUUGAAACUCAAAGGAAUUUGACGGGGACCCGCACAAGCGGUGGAGCAUGUGGUUUAAUUCGAAGCAACGCGAAGAACCUUACCAAAUCUUGACAUCCUUUGACAACUCUAGAGAUAGAGCCUUCCCCUUCGGGGGACAAAGUGACAGGUGGUGCAUGGUUGUCGUCAGCUCGUGUCGUGAGAUGUUGGGUUAAGUCCCGCAACGAGCGCAACCCUUAAACUUAGUUGCCAGCAUUUAGUUGGGCACUCUAAGUUGACUGCCGGUGACAAACCGGAGGAAGGUGGGGAUGACGUCAAAUCAUCAUGCCCCUUAUGAUUUGGGCUACACACGUGCUACAAUGGACAAUACAAAGGGCAGCUAAACCGCGAGGUCAUGCAAAUCCCAUAAAGUUGUUCUCAGUUCGGAUUGUAGUCUGCAACUCGACUACAUGAAGCUGGAAUCGCUAGUAAUCGUAGAUCAGCAUGCUACGGUGAAUACGUUCCCGGGUCUUGUACACACCGCCCGUCACACCCACGAGAGUUUGUAACACCCGAAGCCGGUGGA
rnacentral:rRNA from 1 species